rnacentral:lncRNA from 1 species
AGAACAUUUAAGUGAUAAAUAGCCACUGCGGGGAAAAAAAUCAAAAUACUGCAAAAACAAAAAUAGCACUCCCUCCAAAAAAUAGACAGAGUUCAGACAUUUCCCAAUGUGAUUCAUAGGAGCUCAGUAGUUUUUUGAAUGAAAUACCUAAUUCUGAAAAAACGAGUGUUCUUUCUAAUGUUUUCCUGAGGCUGUAGCCCUGGGAAAAGCCUGGACUCAUGGCCAGCUAACUCAGAAAUAAAUUUUAAAACCUUUAUUUUUCUAGGCAGCAUCAGGAGCCUGGAGAAGGUGGACAGUUAAAUAAAACAUCAGUUCACACCUAUUAAAAGCAGUCGAGGCAAAGUUCUGGGCCAAAUUGGCUUGGAGAAAUAGUGUGGCAGGUAUGCUUUUAAUGAAGAUCAUUUCUCCACCUUCCUUGUUUUAAUUUGAUUUCCCUGGCAGACUUGUGCUUCCUUGGCUUGGAGGAAAUCUGCUUAACUACCACCAUCUCAACCAGGAGCCAGACAGAGCUGGAUUCCUUCGCCAUUUCUGCAGUUUGCCUUUUGAGGUCCACGGGGAUCACUGCAUUGCCUCCACCGGAGGCCUGGAGAGAGUCCAGCAGGAAAGGAGAGGCUGGUCCUCUGCCUGGGACAAGCUCCAUGAUGUCAGUGGCAGCGGCUUUGCCCACUCUCAGCUAAAUUACAAACUCUCUCCUCAUCCCAGAUUACUGGCGGCGACACAGAGUCUCUUUGUCAACUGCUCCAAAUCACCCAGCAAAGUGCCUCUCAGGCUAAGAGGACAGCUAAGACCCAACAACUGGGUGGCCGCAGGGCACUCAAAACCUCCUGUGAACAGGCACUGUCAGCAAACCGAGGGCAGACCAGGCGAGACAACUCAGAGCCCAGAAUUCACGCUGCAGCUGCCCCUGGCCUCUCUCUCCAAGCUUCCUUGCUGCCCAGGGACCAGGCAAAGAUCUCAGACCUCAGCUCUUCUGGCGCAGAGAGAAACACAACAAAAUCCCCCAGCUUUUGCCUCCUGUCUCUUUCCAUUUUGUUAGGCCAAUGGAAAGAAGAACCAGCAAAAAACCAUUUUUUCUAACUUUAAUGUUGUUCAUUGUAAUAAACUUAAUCAAGUUUCACUAGCAAACCGUUUUCUGUUUGUUCUUUGGAGAAUUAAGCUGUAGUCUUCAAACCCUGCCUUAAGGAGAUGCGUGGUUUUGGAAUAAAAUUACAGCCUUUCACUACGCGGAUGACACCAGCUGACCGCUAAAGACCGGAAGUGACACACACGUGACUCACUGAAUACAGCACGGACUUAAUACAAGGGGAUGUGCCUUCUGAGGCAUCGGGAGCACUGAGACCAUCUCUUAAACAGGGGCCCCAUUACCUUUGCAAAAACAUGCAGUUGAGACUGAAGUGUUGGUUCAACAAUGAGAUGAACAAAACUUUAUUAAGUUGGAGCUAAAUAUGGAUGGGGUGACCUCAUCAGCUGAGUAUCAGGUGAAGACAGUCAAACUGAACCCCAAGGAGGGGUUUGUCUCCAAGGGGUCCCCUGGUUCCUUCCCAGAACCUCCCCAUCCAAGACUCUUCUCGGACUGACCACCAUGGCUGGGUGUCCUGGUUAUGUCUGGAUCAGAAUGAGAGCAGAAACACAGUCACUGCUCCCAAGACUUGUCAUUUCCAGGUUGGAAGAUACAAGGGAGUUACAAGGAAUCUGAAGACAAAUCACAAAGCCAUGAGCUUGCUAAAUAUUUUAAACCUGAGAAAGAAGAGUAGGAGCAUAUUGGCUGGUAGGACUCGACUGUUCCCUGAACGUGAAUUUCAGGGCAUUCUUCUAGGUUAGAGACUUUCAAAGGUGUCCACUGAAACAGAGAUGCUGACAACUCCUUAAUACAAUGGGCAAACUGUGGUUAGAUGCCUACCUGUUUCUCCACUCUUGUUAUGCUUCCAGUUCUAUUUCAAAACCCACUAGGAUGACACUGGAGUCUAUUAUACAGAGGGAAGUAAGUCAAAAAGAAAAAAUACCAAUACAGUGUAUUAUGCAUAUACAUGGGAUUUAGAAAGAUGGUAACAAUGACCCUAUAUGUGAGACAGCAAAAGAGACACAGAGAUAAAGAACAGACUUUUGGACUCUGUGGGAGAAGGCAAGGGUGGGAUAAUUUGACAGAAUAGCAUUGAAACAUGCAUAUUAUCAUAUGUGAAAUAGAUCGCCAGUCCAGGUUCGAUGCAUGAGACAGGGCGCUCUGGGCCGGUGCACUGGGAUGACCCUGAGGGAUGGGAUGGGGAGGGAGGUGGGAGGAGGGUUCAGGAUGGGGGACACAUGUUCACCCAUGGC